AGCGAACGCUGGCGGCAGGCCUAACACAUGCAAGUCGAACGAACUCUUCGGAGUUAGUGGCGGACGGGUGAGUAACACGUGGGAACGUGCCUUUUUGUUCGGAAUAACUCAGGGAAACUUGUGCUAAUACCGAAUGUGCCCUUCGGGGGAAAGAUUUAUCGCCAUUAGAGCGGCCCGCGUCUGAUUAGCUAGUUGGUGAGGUAACGGCUCACCAAGGCGACGAUCAGUAGCUGGUCUGAGAGGAUGACCAGCCACACUGGGACUGAGACACGGCCCAGACUCCGACGGGAGGCAGCAGUGGGGAAUCUUGCGCAAUGGGCGAAAGCCUGACGCAGCCAUGCCGCGUGAAUGAUGAAGGUCUUAGGAUUGUAAAAUUCUUUCACCGGGGACGAUAAUGACGGUACCCGGAGAAGAAGCCCGGCUAACUUCGUG
rnacentral:rRNA from 1 species